rnacentral:rRNA from 1 species
UACGUAGGGAGCAGGCGUUGUCCGGAAUCAUUGGGCGUAAAGCGCGCGUAGGUGGCUUCGUAAGUCCGUUGUGAAAGUCAAAGGCUCAACCUUUGAAAGCCGAUGGAUACUGCGGAGCUAGAGUACGGAAGAGGCGAGUGGAAUUCCUGGUGUAGCGGUGGAAUGCGCAGAUAUCAGGAGGAACACCAAUAGCGAAGGCAGCUCGCUGGGACGUUACUGACACUGAGGCGCGAAAGCGUGGGGAGCGAACAGG